UAAUAUAAUCAUUAUCAUGUAAUAAGUUUCAUAUUUUAUGCUAUAUUUUUUACUUGAAACAAAUCAAUACGAAUACAAAAAUCGCACUGAAAUUAUGCCAGGAAAUUGGAAAGUUUGAAGCUAUGUUGAAUUGAACAAUAAAAAAUUAAAAGAAAAGGUUCGAGUUUCAUGAGCAACCUUCCUCUCCUGUCUGCCAUGGAGGUUCAAAGUUGAAAGCUUUUCGGGAGUUAUGAACGUCAAUUUGCCUUGGCCUAAUUGCCAUUUGCUUGGGAAUCUUUGUCCCAAGGCGAAGGUGUGCUUGGACCAUGUGGUUGUUGAUUUUCCAGUACGGAACAUAUAGGCUCAACGGCCAUUAGACAAAACUUCGGUUGAACAACGCAUCAAAAUAGAGUUUCCCAGACCACAGACAGAGAGCAGAGACUUGACUGUUGUGAGCACCAUAACUUCAAUGAACAAUGAAAGAUGGGGAUUAUGAUGUCAUUAUCAGUUGAACAUCGACGUUCCCAUUGUCAAGUGCAUUUGUUUUCAUUCGAAUAUUGUAAAACGUGAAUUGAAAUUAAUAUUUUGAUUAGUAAUCGAGUUAGAUAUGAUUCUUAUCAAAAUUUAAAAGUUUAGGACACAUUCAUUAGUAUAAGUUCAACUAGUUUAAUAAAUAAUAAUUGUGUGAUUUGUUGAUAAAGUUAAUAUAAAAUAAAUGAGUACGAGAGAUACCAUGGUGCUUUUUGUUGAUAAAGUACAAAUUUUUGUAAUUAUUUUUUGUAAUUAGAAUUAAAA